GACGAACGCUGGCGGCGUGCUUAACACAUGCCAGUCGAACGGAAAGGCCCUGCUUUUGUGGGGUGCUCGAGUGGCGAACGGGUGAGUAACACGUGAGUAACCUGCCCUUGACUUUGGGAUAACUUCAGGAAACUGGGGCUAAUACCGGAUAGGAGCUCCUGCUGCAUGGUGGGGGUUGGAAAGUUUCGGCGGUUGGGGAUGGACUCGCGGCUUAUCAGCUUGUUGGUGGGGUAGUGGCUUACCAAGGCUUUGACGGGUAGCCGGCCUGAGAGGGUGACCGGCCACAUUGGGACUGAGAUACGGCCCAGACUCCUACGGGAGGCAGCAGUGGGGAAUAUUGCACAAUGGGCGGAAGCCUGAUGCAGCAACGCCGCGUGCGGGAUGACGGCCUUCGGGUUGUAAACCGCUUUCGCCUGUGACGAAGCGUGAGUGACGGUAAUGGGGAAAGAAGCACCGGCGAACUACGU
rnacentral:rRNA from 1 species